UGAGGUAUAUUUUGUAUGUAAUAAUGGUUCAGAUUGUCACCCGUACAGGGGAGAUGCUGCCGAAAUUUCUUCGGACAGGGACUCCUUUGGGGUGUGACAAUUAAGUGGUAUCAGAGCCUAGGUUGCGAAGCCUAUUUAUGUGUUUCAGAUUGUGCGAUUUGUUUUUCGUGUUCAGUAUUUUCGAGUUAAUCUGAUACCAAUUUAGUGGUAUCAGAGCAUGGUUCGAGUCAAAUGCGGUGUUUUGUGUUUUGAAAUUUCAAUCUUGUUUCGAUUUAUGAUUUUCGGCGUUCCGAUUGUUUUGUUUUCCCUUUGUAAGUUGAUCUCUCGAUGUGACUCUCGGGUUGUGGGACCAGGUAGCAGCAGGAAUCUCCAAGCUAUAGAAGGUAGCAAGUAGAUGAGUCGUGGAUGCUUGGAGAGAUGCCGGCUGCCAGUCCUCGGUCCUGCGUUAUAUCGGUUUUAUUUCUGCUUUACUUGUAUUUUUAGUAUACAGCGAUUUUAUUAUUGUAUGAAUUGGUUUGUGUUCUGGGAAAAGUCUGUGAUGAUAGGUAUUUUUAUUA